rnacentral:rRNA from 1 species
UACGUAGGGGGCAAGCGUUGUCCGGAUUUAUUGGGCGUAAAGAGCGUGCAGGCGGCCAGGUAGGUCUGCUGUGAAAACUCGAGGCUCAACCUCGAGACGUCGGCGGAAACCAUCUGGCUAGAGUCCGGAAGAGGAGAGUGGAAUUCCUGGUGUAGCGGUGAAAUGCGCAGAUAUCAGGAAGAACACCCGUGGCGAAGGCGGCUCUCUGGGACGGUACUGACGCUGAGACGCGAAAGCGUGGGGAGCGAACAGG